rnacentral:rRNA from 1 species
AACGAACGCUGGCGGCAUGCCUAACACAUGCAAGUCGAACGAGACCUUCGGGUCUAGUGGCGCACGGGUGCGUAACGCGUGGGAACCUGCCCUUAGGUUCGGAAUAACUCCCCGAAAGGGGUGCUAAUACCGGAUAAUGUCUUCGGACCAAAGAUUUAUCGCCUUUGGAUGGGCCCGCGUUGGAUUAGCUAGUUGGUAGGGUAAAAGCCUACCAAGGCGACGAUCCAUAGCUGGUCUGAGAGGAUGAUCAGCCACACUGGGACUGAGACACGGCCCAGACUCCUACGGGAGGCAGCAGUGGGGAAUAUUGGACAAUGGCGAAAGCCUGAUCCAGCAAUGCCGGGGGAGUGAUGAAGGCCUUAGGGUUGUAAAGCUCUUUUACCCGGGAUGAUAAUGACAGUACCGGGAGAAUAAGCUCCGGCUAACUCCGU